UUCCUCUCAGGAUCGCACCUGGAGAGUUCCCAGUACUCUACCAGUCUCGACUCCAGGAGGGAGUCAAGCAGAGGCAGACCCAUUCCAUUCCCAGUUUGGGCAGUGGCUAGUGAGUGGAAGGCAAUCUCUACAAGU